UCCGGCUUAACGCCGGCAGUCCUCCUAGAGUGCCCAACUUAAUGGUGGCAACUAAGAGCAAGGGUUGCGCUCGUUGCGGGACUUAACCCAACAUCUCACGACACGAGCUGACGACAGCCAUGCACCACCUGUGAAGCUGCCCCGAAGGGAAGACGUGUUUCCACGUCGGUCAGCCACAUGUCAAGCCCAGGUAAGGUUCUUCGCGUUGCGUCGAAUUAAACCACAUGCUCCGCUGCUUGUGCGGGUCCCCGUCAAUUCCUUUGAGUUUUAGCCUUGCGGCCGUACUCCCCAGGCGGGGCACUUAAUGCGUUAGCGUCGGCACGGAGGGAGUCGACACCUCCCACACCUAGCACCCAUCGUUUACGGCGUGGACUAC
rnacentral:misc_RNA from 1 species